rnacentral:rRNA from 1 species
UAUCAGCACCCCGAGUGGUCGGGACGUUUAUUGGGCCUAAAGCAUCCGUAGCCGGUUCUACGAGUCUUCCGUUAAAUCCAACUGCUUAACAGGUGGGCUGCGGAAGAUACUAUAGAGCUAGGAGGCGGGAGAGGCAAGCGGUACUCGAUGGGUAGGGGUAAAAUCCGUUGAUCCAUUGAAGACCACCAGUGGCGAAGGCGGCUUGCCAGAACGCGCUCGACGGUGAGGGAUGAAAGCUGGGGGAGCAAACCGG